rnacentral:ncRNA from 2 species
AACCACCUUCAGGGCAGGGUGAAAUUCCCGACCGGCGGUAAUGACGAUUAUGUCUGAGCCCGCGACUCGCAAACCGUUUUUGCGACUGACUUGGUGAAAAUCCAAGGCCGACGGUAUAGUCCGGAUGGGAGAAGGUACAA